rnacentral:rRNA from 1 species
GAAGUGCGGAGCGAAGGCGUUUGCGUAGCGGACAUUAGCGUGCUUUUUUUCCUUAGUCCGUUACGUAGGGGAGAUUAGUGCGUAUAUCCGUGGUAGGGGUACUAAUGGGUGGGUCUUUAGCACUUUUAAUCAGUGGGAGUCUAUCCUGGUAGGGGUGAGAGCGAGGGGCGGGCGGCGGCGCGGCGGGUCCCUCGUCCUCGGCGGCGCGGGGGCCGGAGCACGGCCCGGCGCGCGUCGUACGGCGCGUGGUGCGGCAGCAGCACGGGGCCGAGCGGCGGCGAGGACAGAGCGGAGGGCGCGCGGACGCGAGGGCAAAUUCCGGGGAGGGCGGGACAGUGCGAAGGGCCCGGACGGUGCGGCGCGCAGCCACGGAGGCAAGGCGCGGGGCCACGGAGAAGAGGUACUGCACGAGGGAGUUGUCGCUCUAGAGAUCGUGGUACGCAUGCACUCCUCCCGCAACCUCUAUUAAGGAAGUAGACUUAGGAGGUGUAUUUUCCAUAUGUGCAAGAAACUAAAUAUAUUUGAACCAGCACAUAUUCUAGACCUUCCUGGUUAAAGUAGAAAGAAACUAAACUAUUUGCUUGUAUAUUCACAUACAUCUAGCCACUUUCUAGGACGAACUGCUACACAAAGACGGAAAUUAUAUAACGGUGUACGUUUAUCAACUAAGGACAUCUAUACCUAAGUUGACACUUUAUAGACAAAGAGUUUUUUACUAACUGAAGGUAAACCGUGAUACAAUUUCAGGUUAAUACGAUCGGUACUCCUACCCCCUCUGAUUCUACCUACUUGUGGACUCGGGUCUAAUGAAACGUCCAGUUACGAGGUGAUAAGAUACAUACACUGUCUAAAGUUCUUAUGACUCCAAACUACAUGUACAAAGUAAUCUAUCCUCUGAGAACGAAGAAAUAAAAUCCAAGGUCAGCUCAGUUAUAACCAACUAGAACGAAGAAAUAAAGUCACUUUAAUAAAGGUAAACGUUAACUUCUAUGGGUCACACUGAAAAGACGGGAAAUGCAUGCAUCGAACACAGCAGAAACUUGGGUAAAAGGAUAAGUUUACGGUUUAAUGCACGUCAUAUAUUUUGUUGACGUCGUACGAGUCCCAAAGUACCACUUCGUUUACACUUAAUGACCAAGAGGAUAGUAAAGUAAAAAAUAACCUUUGCCACUCCUACUAUCAAGGAUUAAGCUCGACUACGUAGAAUGUUAGGGUUUUCUCGAGAAAAACACCUUCAGUACUUGGAACGUAGAAUGGUAAAACUAAAGAUUAAACAAUUUUAGACCUGGAAAUAACAGAGUAACUGAGUAAACUUUGUCACUACGCGGCGAGGAGAGGGUGGCCCUGGGAACUGCGGCCGUCGUGGAGGGUAGAGAUAUACGACUAAAGAGUUAACCAAGGAAAUUAUAACCAACCUCCUAACCCCACCGAAAGAAAAAUAACUAACUUCUUGACCACCUAAGAGGGCUGCGAACACGCACGAUUAAUACAGACAAGAACGAGUAACCGUACCAGUCUUUGGCCUCAGUACCUCUGAAUGAACAGUGUGAUAGUAUACCUUGUUCCUUUUAAGGACGUUCCGUACUAAAGUGAUUGGAAACCAUGGUGAUUAUCAACAUAAUAUUCAUACAAAGUCCUUUUUUUUAGUCCAACAAAAGGUUACACCUUCUUUAUUAACGUGUCAAUUGGCCGUGUAAACUACAUGAUCGUCUUACACUAGGUUAACAUGGAGGACGAUACACCACAACGGUACGUGUGUACAGGACGGAACAACGGUAUCCGUGGCCAAGGACUGUCAAAGGUUCAAAAGAAACACAGAAGUGAUCGUAACGAUCUGAAUAAACGAGUUUUCUACUUGUGUAGUUUCUCGUACAUAUGAUGACUAUGGUCAUAGAAAUUCCUACCUAUUAGAGAAGAAGCGUAGGGAUAAUAAGGGGACAUACUAACCUGAAAUAUCAUCUUAAUAAACACGCACUCAAACAUAAAAAUUCUGGCAAGAACCCUUAGGUACCAUUUAACAUUUAACAAGACUUGACAGCCGUAUCUUAUCUAGGUUCGGUUUGCCGGCGGUAGUAAACAUUAAUAAAC